UGGGGUAUAGUUUAACGGUAGAACAGCAGACUCUGACUCUGUAUAUCGCGGUUCGAAUCCGUGUACCCCAACCA
rnacentral:tRNA from 1 species